UAGCUUUGGCAGCACAUAUACUUAAAAUAGAAUGAUACAGAGAAGAUUGGCAAGGGCACUGGGCAUGACUGACACACACACAUUUGAGAAGUAUUCCAUAUUU